GGGGAACCUGCCCCAUAGUCUGGGAUACCACUUAGAAACAGGUGCUAAUACCGGAUAAGAAAGCGGAUCGCAUGAUCAGCUUUUAAAAGGCGGCGUAAGCUGUCGCUAUGGGAUGGCCCCGCGGUGCAUUAGCUAGUUGGUAAGGUAAAGGCUUACCAAGGCGAUGAUGCAUAGCCGAGUUGAGAGACUGAUCGGCCACAUUGGGACUGAGACACGGCCCAAACUCCUACGGGAGGCAGCAGCC
rnacentral:rRNA from 1 species